GACGAACGCUGGCGGCGUGCUUAACACAUGCAAGUCGAACGGAAAGUCCCUGCUUUUGUGGGGUGCUCGAGUGGCGAACGGGUGAGUAACACGUGAGUAACCUGCCCUUGACUUUGGGAUAACUUCAGGAAACUGGGGCUAAUACCGGAUAGGAGCUCCUGCUGCAUGGUGGGGGUUGGAAAGUUUCGGCGGUUGGGGAUGGACUCGCGGCUCAUCAGCUUGUUGGUGGGGUAGUGGCUUACCAAGGCAUUGACGGGUUGCCGGGCUGGGAGGGUGACCUGCCACAUUGGGACUGGGAUACGGCCCAGACUCCUACGGGAGGCAGCAGUGGAGAAUAUUGCACAAUGGGCGGAAGCCUGAUGCAGCAACGCCGCGUGCGGGAUGACGGCCUUCGGGUUGUAAACCGCUUUCGCCUGUGACGAAGCGUGAGUGACGGUAAUGGGUAAAGAAGCACCGGCUAACUACGUG
rnacentral:rRNA from 1 species